rnacentral:rRNA from 1 species
CCCUUAGAUGUUCUGGGCCGCACGCGCGCUACACUGAUGCAUUCAACGAGCCUAUCCUUGACCGACAGGUCCGGGUAAUCUUUGAAUCUGCAUCGUGACGGGGAUAGAUUAUUGCAAUUAUUAAUCUUCAACGAGGAAUGCCUAGUAGGCGCAAGUCAUCAGCUUGCGUCGAUUACGUCCCUGCCCUUUGUACACACCGCCCGUCGCUCCUACCGAUUGAGUGGUCCGGUGAGGCUUUGGGAUCUGGAUGGAAAGAGCGUUUCGCUGUUUCUGCCCGGAAAACUCAGUCGAACCUUAUCAUUUAGAGGAAGGAGAAGUCGUAACA